UGGGGAAUCUUGCGCAAUGGGCGAAAGCCUGACGCAGCCAUGCCGCGUGAAUGAUGAAGGUCUUAGGAUUGUAAAAUUCUUUCACCGGGGACGAUAAUGACGGUACCCGGAGAAGAAGCCCCGGCUAACUUCGUGCCAGCAGCCGCGGUAAUACGAAGGGGGCUAGCGUUGCUCGGAAUUACUGGGCGUAAAGGGCGCGUAGGCGGAUCGUUAAGUCAGAGGUGAAAUCCCAGGGCUCAACCCUGGAACUGCCUUUGAUACUGGCGAUCUUGAGUAUGAGAGAUGUAUGUGGAACUCCGAGUGUAGAGGUGAAAUUCGUAGAUAUUCGGAAGAACACCAGUGGCGAAGGCGACAUACUGGCUCAUUACUGACGCUGAGGCGCGAAAGCGUGGGGAGCAAACAGG
rnacentral:rRNA from 1 species